rnacentral:rRNA from 1 species
UCCUACGGGAGGCUGCAGUGGGGAAUAUUGGACAAUGGGCGCAAGCCUGAUCCAGCCAUGCCGCGUGGGUGAAGAAGGCCUUAGGGUUGUAAACCCCUUUCAGCGGGGAAGAUAAUGACGGUACCCGCAGAAGAAGUCCCGGCUAACUCCGUGCCAGCAGCCGCGGUAAUACGGAGGGGACUAGCGUUGUUCGGAAUUACUGGGCGUAAAGCGCACGUAGGCGGAUUGUUAAGUCAGGGGUGAAAUCCCGAGGCUCAACCUCGGAACUGCCUUUGCUACUGGCAAUCUCGAGUCCGGAAGAGGUGAGUGGAAUUCCUAGUGUAGAGGUGAAAUUCGUAGAUAUUAGGAAGAACACCAGUGGCGAAGGCGGCUCACUGGUCCGGUACUGACGCUGAGGUGCGAAAGCGUGGGGAGCAAACAGGAUUAGAUACCCUAGUAGUC